rnacentral:lncRNA from 1 species
CCAAGGAUGAUGAAGUGACGAAGUCCAUGUCUGUGGUUCUCUGGGUAUUCAGGCUACACAGAUUGGCAGGCAGUCAGUUGUAAGGGAUCAAAAUGAACUUCAUCAAAUGGAUGAAGUCUUCCACAUAUCACAGAUAGAGAUUUAGCAGCAGUCUCCUUUAUGAACUCUUAUCACUUUCUACAUAUUUCAUAGCAUGUCUUAAACAGAAUAUAAUUAUUUGCUGUGUGACCAAAAAAUCCACAUUCUCUUUCCUUCUUUAUCAGAACCGCUUUAUCUGUGUUCUGCCCCAUUCCCUCCUGUCUCCUGGAAAUCAUAUUCCCUUCUGCCUUUCUUCUCCUUCUGGUCUCUUUACUUUACAUGUAAACAUCUUUAACCACUCCCUCACCAACCGCAUAUACCCUUCUAGUGAUCAUCAUCUCUCUGCUUCCUUUGACAUAAAGUUCCUCAAAAUAACACUCUACCCUCACUCUCAACAUCCUAAAAUGCCACUUAUUCCUUGACUUUCUCAAGUCUAGUUUCCAGCCCCUGACCAGGUCAAGGUUACUUAUGUCCUUCAUUGCCAAAUCUUACCUGACCUGUUAAUUAUUCCCUCCCUCAAACUCAGGCCUUUUAUUCAUUCUAUUUAUUCCCUCCCUUUGACGCUCUCGUCAUCCCUAGAUUCUAUGAGUUCUCCUCCUAGAUCUCUAGCUAUCUCAACUAAGAUCACUUUACCAUCCUCUAUUCCUCUUCCUAUCCUUUAAGAGUCAGUGUUAGGUAGAUUUCUGUUCAUAGUCCUUUUUUCUUUCUUACACUUCACACUCUUCCUGAACAGUUCUAUUUGGAUUCUCUACAAGUAGCACAAACUCAAUGUGUCCAAAACUACAACAAUUACCUUUCCUCAGAUAGUACGCCCUCCUCCUCCCCUUAGUCCCUAUUUUGGUUAGUAGCACCUCUAUCAGACCAAUUACCCAACCCAGAAAUUUGAGUUAUAUUUAACUUUUUUAUUUGUUUUUGUGGUUAGAAGCAAAAAUAAAUCAACCCUGGAUUGCAUGAUAAUUUUUUUUACAUAAGUGACUAUUAAAAAGAUACUGGGAUAUUUCCACAGACUCAAAGGAAGAGUUGACAUUGGAAGUGAAAGAACCAGGACAUCACCGGAGAGUUGAGGAGAUAAUCUUUUUCUCCAGACACAAUCCCAGAGUCUGUCUCUCUGUGUUCUAAGUGUUUUUGUAAUUCCCAGGGAAAGAAUUAUAUUGGCACAACCUGGGUCAAGCGCCACUUGUAGGUCAAUCAGCUAUGGCUCCAAACUGGAAGAAUUAUUUUGCAACAUAAAAGCAACAAAGAAUCAGUACCACAAUAUAAAAAUAUUCCUCACAAAUCAGUAUCCUCACUCCACCCCAUACCACUCACAAAAAAGGAAGUAAGGGGGAGAGGGAGGGAGAGAGUAAGAAAAAGAGAGAAAAAUGGGUACUACUUUCAAAGCAGGAAAUAAGUAUCACCAGUAGGGUACCAGAAUAAGGUACAGGAAGUUGCUCAAUCUCAGUAGUAAUCAAGAGAUACAAAACAAUAAAACGAAGAAUAAUUUCACAAAUAAUUAGAAUUGAGAGUUCAGAAAUAAAAUCAUACAUCUACAAACAACUAAUCUUCAAGGAGAGUGCCAUGACCAUUCAUGAGGAAAAAGUAAUCUUUUCAUAAAUUAUGCCAAAACAAUUCAAUAGCCACAUGCAAAACAAUGAAAGUUGGACCCUUACCUCACACCAUACACGAAAAGUAACUCAAAAUGUAUGAAAGCUCUAAAUAUAAGAGCUAAAUUUUUUUGGAGUUCCCAUCAUUGCGCAGUGGAAACGAAUCCUACUAAGAAACAUGAGGUUGCGGGUUUGCUCCUUGGCCUCACUCAGUGGGUUGAGGAUCCAGCAUUGCUGUGAGCUGUGGUGUGGGGUUGCAGACGUGGCUUGGAUCUGGCAUUGCUGUGGAGUUCCCGUCGUGGCACAGUCGUUAACGAAUCCGACUAGGAACCAUGAGGAUGCGGGUUUUAUCUCUGGCCUCAGUGGGUUAAGGAUCCAGCAUUGCCAUGAGCUGUGGUGUAGGCUGCAGACGCAGCUCAGAUCCCGUGUUGCUGUGGCUCUGGCGUAGGCCAGUGACUACAGCUCUGAUUAGACUCCUAGCCCUAAGAACCUCCAUAUGCUGUGGGAGCAGCCCUAGAAAAG